GACGAACGCUGGCGGCGUGCCUAACACAUGCAAGUCGAACGAGUGGCGCACGGGUGAGUAAUGCUUGGGAAUCUUGCUUAUGGAGGGGGAUAACUACGGGAAACUGUUGCUAAUACCGCGUACCUUAGGAUGAGCCCAAGUGGGAUUAGGUAGUUGGUGAGGUAAAGGCUCACCAAGCCGACGAUCUCUAGCUGGUCUGAGAGGAUGACCAGCCACACUGGGACUGAGACACGGCCCAGACUCCUACGGGAGGCAGCAGUGGGGAAUAUUGCGCAAUGGAGGCAACCCUGACGCAGCAACGCCGCGUGAGUGAUGACGGCUUUCGGGUGGUAAAGCUCUGUUAAUCGGGAGACGGUACCGGAAUAGAAAGCCACGGCUAACUACGUGCCAGCAGCCGCGGUAAUUC
rnacentral:rRNA from 1 species